rnacentral:rRNA from 1 species
AUGCAUGCACGCAGCACCAAGCAUUUGCAUCAAUAUGUUUCAGAUGAUGAUUGUGCACAUGCAUACCUCGUUGGGAUAAAUCUACCCGUGGUACGCCACAGCAGCUGGAGGUUGGUCUGGCUCGCAGGGCCAUCCGCUUGUGCAGGUCGGCUCAGCGUUGGCCUUGUGCCCCACGCGAUCCCGGGUCCUGAGCGACCCGAGCAGUCUGAAGCAGCCCACGUCAGACAACGCAUGGGCAGGGAUGAUCAUCUGCUCUUCUCUUUUAUUAUUAUUAUUAUUAUUAUUAUUAUUAUUAUUAUUAUUAUUAUUAUUAUUACUCAAGUAGUGUCUAAUGAUCCAUUGUGCUGGUUUUCCUCACAAUUAUAG